CCUACGGGGGGCAGCAGUGGGGAAUAUUGGACAAUGGGGGGAACCCUGAUCCAGCCAUGCCGCGUGUGUGAAGAAGGCCCUCGGGUUGUAAAGCACUUUCAGUGAGGAAGAACGCCUGGUGGUUAAUACCCAUCAGGAAAGACAUCACUCACAGAAGAAGCACCGGCUAACUCCGUGCCAGCAGCCGCGGUAAUACGGAGGGUGCGAGCGUUAAUCGGAAUUACUGGGCGUAAAGCGCGCGUAGGUGGCUUGAUAAGCCGGUUGUGAAAGCCCCGGGCUCAACCUGGGAACGGCAUCCGGAACUGUCAAGCUAGAGUGCAGGAGAGGAAGGUAGAAUUCCCGGUGUAGCGGUGAAAUGCGUAGAGAUCGGGAGGAAUACCAGUGACGAAGGCGGCCUUCUGGACUGACACUGACACUGAGGUGCGAAAGCGUGGGUAGCAAACAGGAUUAGAUACCCGUGUAGUC
rnacentral:rRNA from 1 species